rnacentral:lncRNA from 1 species
UUGCAUAGGGGGAAAUUGAAAAGCAAUUGUAAAGCAUUGAGCUCAAAUGUUGAGAAAGAAAAAUGCAUGAUAAAAAGAAAAGAAAAGAAGAAAAGCAUGAAAGUGAGCUCAAUGUAAAAGAAAAGGGAAGCAGUUGGGAAUAAGUGGGAUUGGUGAGGAAGAGAGUUGUGCUUAAAUUUUGAAUAUCAUGGUAGCUCUCUUAACUCAAGGACUUUGUAUUCCAAAAAACCAAUUUUUCUUGUUAGCCCAACCUUAUUACAAGCCUUGGAAAAGUGCUUUUGAUGGCAUUUGCAUGUAAAGAUGUUGAUUGUUUGAGAUGAAUGGAAAUUUUAUUUCUUGUGACUUGUGAAUGAGAGAGACUUGGAGUCUUACCUUAAACACUUGAGUGAUUGAGUGAAACACUUGCUUGGUAUGAACUGUUA